AAGAUCUAUCAAAACAAAACAAAAAACAACAAGAUAAUCUCAAGAGUUGCACCCAGAAACAAUGACUAAUGUUGAUCCUCGCCAUGGUUUGGAGAACACGCAUGCAGCAGUGGCUAUCAUCUCAUUGCAUCACGGGCAAAGAGUGCAGGUCGUGGGUCUCGGGUUGUGGGUGCAACACGAAGGUCCCGAUGGCGGCACCGGGCCAUGUUGCAGAGACCCCAGCAACAGGCCGCCCUGCUCCCGCCACCACUCGUCUCCCUCCAUUGCCCUCGCCGCCGUGAGAGGCUGCAAGCUGCUCGAAACCAGCAGGAGGAACAGCAACAGCUGCGUGGACGCGGUGGCCAUGGUCGAUCAAAGCAGAGGAUCCAAGAAAGAUGGGUUAUCAGUUCGAGGAUGAAUGAAUGAAGCAAAGGUUGGUGUGC
rnacentral:lncRNA from 1 species